ensembl:lncRNA
AUGAUUCAACAGUGCCCAUACAAAUGGUCAAAGUAAACUGACUCAUUACAUCUAUGGAUGCUAAGUCUUUUCAGGAAUCCAGCUGAACCCAUUCAAUGCCUUGUGAGUUAAGUAAUUAGAGACCUUUUUCAACUGCCACAACUCUUCAAACAUGACAGAGUGACCUUGCCAGCACUUGCUUCUUCAGGACUCUUAUGUUCAUUAGUAACAAAGCAAUGAAAAGAAUACCUGUCAGAGAGUUGCCGAGGUGUGCACUGAAGGGAACUUCUAAGAGAAAGAUUAUUUGAGUCCCUAGCCCAGGAGCUGCACCAAGGAUUAGUUAAAAUAAAGGAGGAAGAUCUUAACUACCUGGGAGUGUGAAUGUAUAUAUACACUGAUGUGAUGUGUUCUCAAUGUGUUAGAUAUUGUGAUUACACAGUAACGUUUAUACUUCUGGAACAAAGACUACAUAAAAAUGUAGAGCCUUUCCUUUACCACGCAAGGUAAUACGUAUGAAGUACAAUGAAUAUUAUCUACUUGUUUGGCUGCCUGAUAGAAGCCUUGCUUAUGUGGCAGUUUAGAUAAUCUGAAAAUUCCCUUUGGGCAGAAAUCAAGGAUAUUUUGUUUAUCACUUUUCUGCAGAAAGGAGCACUGGACCACUGAUAUAAUUAGGUUUUUAAUUAAAUUUGAUUGAAUUCAUGCUCAAAUUAUUUCACAAAUAAAUAAAUAUGUAUUCUGCUGUUUUCUACUGUUGUCUUAUUUCAUUCAUAUUUUGAAACCUUCAUCAGUAAGUUUGACUGUUUGGCAGCUGACAAGUCUAAAGAACCUAAAGAUUGCUCUGGAAAUAAAUUAUGAAC